rnacentral:rRNA from 1 species
AGAGUAUAUGGCGGAUGCCUUGGCUCUCAAUAGCGAUGAAGGACGUGAUAAGCUGCGAUAAGCUAUGCCCAGAUGCAAAUAAUCUUAGGCAUAGAUUUCCGAAUGGGGUAACCCAGUUAGUAGAAGACUAGCUAUCCGAAAGGAUGCAAACCCGGUGAACUGAAACAUCUAAGUAACCGGAGGAAGAGAAAACAAUAGUGAUUCCGUUAGUAGUGGCGAGCGAACGCGGAACAGCCCAAACCAAUGUUGUUACGGCAAUAUUGGGGUUGUAGGACCACGAGAUUAGAGACUUAGAGAAUUAGAAUUGUUUGGAAAGACAUACCAAAGAAGGUGAUAGUCCUGUAAAAGUAAUCGAAGUUAAUAUAGUGGUAUCCUGAGUAGUGCGGGACACGAGUAAUCCUGUAUGAAUCCACCGGGACCAUCCGGUAAGGCUAAAUACUCCUGAGAGACCGAUAGUGAACUAGUACCGUGAGGGAAAGGUGAAAAGAACCGUGAAUAACGGAGUGAAAUAGAUCCUGAAACCAUACGCUUACAAGCGGUCGGAGCCCUUCGGGGUGACGGCGUGCCUUUUGCAUAAUGAGCCUACGAGUUACUCCUCACUAGCAAGAUUAAGAGAUUAAGUCUCGGAGUCGAAGCGAAAGCGAGUGUUAAAAGCGCGUUUAGUUAGUGGGGGUAGACGCGAAACCCGGUGAUCUACCCAUGGGCAGGUUGAAGCUUCGGUAAUACGAAGUGGAGGACCGAACCGCCAGACGUUGAAAAGUCUUCGGAUGACCUGUGGGUAGGGGUGAAAGGCUAAUCAAACCGGGAGAUAGCUCGUACUCUCCGAAAUGCAUUUAGGUGCAGCCUCGGAUUUAGUGUCAUAGAGGUAGAGCUACUGAUUGGGCUAGGGGGCUUCACCGCCUACCAAACCCUGACAAACUCCGAAUACUAUGACAUAUACCCGGGAGUGAGGGCAUGGGUGCUAAGGUCCAUGUCCGAGAGGGAAAGAACCCAGACCAUCAGCUAAGGUCCCCAAAUAUAUGUUAAGUUGAAUAAACGAGGUGAAACUGCUUAGACAGCUAGGAUGUUGGCUUGGAAGCAGCCAUUCAUUUAAAGAGUGCGUAACAGCUCACUAGUCGAGCGGUUUUGCAUGGAUAAUAAUCGGGCAUAAACAUAUUACCGAAGCUAUGGAUUAACGUUGAAAGACACGUUAGUGGUAGGGGAGCAUUGUAACCUGCGUAGAAGGUGUGCUGUGAGGCAUGCUGGAGUGGUUACAAAAGAAAAUGUAGGCAUAAGUAACGAUAAUGGGGGCGAGAAACCCCCACACCGAAAGACUAAGGUUUCCUCAGCGAUGCUAAUCAGCUGAGGGUUAGUCGGGUCCUAAGGCGAAUCCGAAGGGAGUAGUCGAUGGAUAACAGGUUAAUAUUCCUGUACUAGUAUAUAUUGUGAUGGGGUGACGUAGAAGUGAAAGCCUUGCGUACUGACGGAAUAGUACGUUGAAGCCAGUGGUAACACGGCGAUAGUACACUGAAACUUCGGUAGAGGUGAUAAUCCAGAAAAGCGACUUCCAAGAAAAACAAGUGAAGCAGCCCGUACCCCAAACCGACACAGGUAGUUGGGAUGAGAAUUCUAAGGUGCUCGAGAGAUUCAUGGUUAAGGAACUAGGCAAAAUCGACCCGUAACUUCGGGAGAAGGGUCGCCCAUCUUCGGAUGGGCCGCAGUGAAAAGGUCCAGGCGACUGUUUAUCAAAAACACAGGGCUCUGCAAAAUCGAAAGAUGAAGUAUAGGGCCUGACACCUGCCCGGUGCCGGAAGGUUAAGAGGAGAUGUUAGCUUCGGCGAAGCAUUGAAUUGAAGCCCCGGUAAACGGCGGCCGUAACUAUAACGGUCCUAAGGUAGCGAAAUUCCUUGUCGGGUAAGUUCCGACCUGCACGAAUGGUGUAACGAUCUGGACACUGUCUCAACCAUGAGCUCGGUGAAAUUGUAGUAACGGUGAAGAUGCCGUUUACCCGCUGUGGGACGAAAAGACCCCGUGAACCUUUACUAUAGCUUAGUAUUGGCUUUGGAUAAGUAAUGUGUAGGA